CUUACAGCCACACCGCUGGCAAAGCAUUGGGGGAGAUGCUGUCCAAAACAUCUGGUGUGUCAAAGUUUGUCCAACCCUUCUGUAGGCAACGGUCACCUAUAUUUCCUCCAUAUUUGUAACAACUCAUUUGCUUGAUUCUACCACCCUCUAUUGUCCUUUUAAACUAUCCAAUAGAGACCAUUUCUUAUAAAAAGACUGACCAUGUCAAAUCUAAUCUAAUUCUUAAAACUACACAGAACUGUCCACCCAUCAUGGAAGUUUUCUUCAUUCAACUACUGUGGUAGUCCGCACUUCACAUUCUUCAUAACAGUCUCUCUCUC